GUGGGGAAUAUUGGACAAUGGGGGGAACCCUGAUCCAGCCAUGCCGCGUGUGUGAAGAAGGCCUUUUGGUUGUAAAGCACUUUAAGCGAGGAGGAGGCUACCGAGAUUAAUACUCUUGGAGAGUGGACGUUACUCGCAGAAUAAGCACCGGCUAACUCUGUGCCAGCAGCCGCGGUAAUACAGAGGGUGCAAGCGUUAAUCGGAUUUACUGGGCGUAAAGCGCGCGUAGGUGGCCAAUUAAGUCAAAUGUGAAAUCCCCGAGCUUAACUUGGGAAUUGCAUUCGAUACUGGUUGGCUAGAGUAUGGGAGAGGAUGGUAGAAUUCCAGGUGUAGCGGUGAAAUGCGUAGAGAUCUGGAGGAAUACCGAUGGCGAAGGCAGCCAUCUGGCCUAAUACUGACACUGAGGUGCGAAAGCAUGGGGAGCAAACAGGAUUAGAUACCCGUGUAGUCC
rnacentral:rRNA from 1 species